rnacentral:rRNA from 1 species
GACGAACGCUGGCGGCGUGCUUAACACAUGCAAGUCGAGCGGUAAGGCUCCUUCGGGAGUACACGAGCGGCGAACGGGUGAGUAACACGUGAGCAAUCUGCCCUUCACACGGGGAUAACUUCGGGAAACCGAAGCUAAUACCCGAUACGACCACCUCAGGCAUCUGAUGGUGGUGGAAAGUUCCGGCGGUGAAGGAUGAGCUCGCGGCCUAUCAGCUUGUUGGUGGGGUAACGGCCCACCAAGGCAACGACGGGUAGCCGGCCUGAGAGGGUGACCGGCCACACUGGGACUGAGACACGGCCCAGACUCCUACGGGAGGCAGCAGUGGGGAAUAUUGGACAAUGGGCGAAAGCCUGAUCCAGCAACGCCGCGUGAGGGAUGACGGCCUUCGGGUUGUAAACCUCUUUCAGCAGGGACGAAGCGCAAGUGACGGUACCUGCAGAAGAAGCACCGGCCAACUACGUGCCAGCCGCCGCAGUAA